rnacentral:rRNA from 1 species
GAUGACCGCUGGCGGCGUGCCUAAUACAUGCAAGUCGAGCGAAGCGGGGACGGGUGAGUAACACGUGGAUAACCUCCUAUAAGACUGGGAUAACUUCGGGAAACCGGAGCUAAACCGGAUCCUUAUAGAUGGAUCCGCGCUGCAUUAGCUAGUUGGUAAGGUAACGGCUUACCAAGGCAACGAUGCAUAGCCGACCUGAGAGGGUGAUAGGACAAACGGGAACUGAGACACGGUCCAGAAUCGUACGGGAGGCAGCAGUAGGGAAUCUUCCGCAAUGGGCGAAAGCCUGACGGAGAAACGCCGCGUGAGUGAUGAAGGUCUGCGGAUCGUAAAACUCUGUUAUUAGGGAAGCGGGACCUAAUCAGAAAGCCACGGCGAACUACGUGCCAGCAGGCGCGGUAAUUC